AUUGAACGCUGGCGGCAGGCUUAACACAUGCAAGUCGAGCGGGGUGAUGGUGCUUGCACUAUCACUUAGCGGCGGACGGGUGAGUAAUGCUUAGGAAUCUGCCUAUUAGUGGGGGACAACAUCUCGAAAGGGAUGCUAAUACCGCAUACGUCCUACGGGAGAAAGCAGGGGAUCACUUGUGACCUUGUGCUAAUAGAUGAGCCUAAGUCGGAUUAGCUAGUUGGUGGGGUAAAGGCCUACCAAGGCGACGAUCUGUAGCGGGUCUGAGAGGAUGAUCCGCCACACUGGGACUGGGACACGGCCCAGACUCCUACGGGAGGCAGCAGUGGGGAAUAUUGGACAAUGGGGGGAACCCUGAUCCAGCCAUGCCGCGUGUGUGAAGAAGGCCUUAUGGUUGUAAAGCACUUUAAGCGAGGAGGAGGCUACUCUAGUUAAUACCCAAGAUGAGUGGACGUUACUCGCAGAAUAAGCACCGGCUAACUCUGUGCCAGCCGCCGCCGUAA
rnacentral:rRNA from 1 species